AUGGCAUGUUGAGGACAAUCGACACAAAGUUUCUUGAAUCUCUCCCAAGCUAGGUAAAAAUUCUCAUCCUUGCGUUGUCGAAAACUUGUAAUCCAUUGUCUCCCCUU
rnacentral:snoRNA from 1 species